UCUCUGGUAGUAUAUCGGAUAGUACAUCCGCCUGUCACUUGAUGAGCAGUGGCGCGGAAGAGCGGGGUUCGACUCCCCGCCAGAGAG